CCUUCUAACUUCACUCUUGAUAUAGGUCAAGUCAAGUUCAUGUGUCUUUACAUUGUAUGUCCCUUCUAACUUCACUCUUGAUAUAGGUCAAGUCAAGUUCAUGUGUCUAUACAUUGUAUGUCCCUUCUAACUUCACUCUUGAUAUAGGUCAAGUCAAGUUCAUGUGUCUUUACAUUGUAUGUCCCUUCUAACUUCACUCUUGAUAUAGGUCUAUACAUUGUAUGUCCCUUCUAACUUCACUCUUGAUAUAGGUCUAUACAUUGUAU